GAUGAACGCUAGCGGGAGGCCUAACACAUGCAAGCCGAGCGGGAUUUGUUUGUUAGCUUGCUAACUAACAAUGAGAGCGGCGUACGGGUGCGUAGCACGUUUGCAACCUGCCUUUAUUUGGGGGGUAGCCUUUCGAAAGGUAGCUUAAUACCCCAUAACAUAUUGAUUGGCGUCAGUUAAUUUUUCAAUCUCCGGCGAGUUGAGAUGGGCACGCGUAAGAUUGGCUAGUUGGUGAGGUAACGGCUCACCAAGGCUGCGAUCCUUAGGGGGCCGGAGGGGGUGAUCCCCCACACUGGUACUGAGACACGGACCAGGCUCCUACGGGAGGCAGCAGUGAGGAAUAUUGGACAAUGGGUGAGAGCCUGAUCGCGCCAGCCCGCGUGAAGGACUAAGGACCUAGGGUUUGUAAACUUCUUUUAUACAGGGAUAAACCUACUCUCGUGAGGGUAGCUGAAGGUACUGAAUGAAUAAGCACCGGCUAACUCCGUG
rnacentral:rRNA from 1 species